rnacentral:snoRNA from 2 species
AAGACUCUACUUGCAGGGAUCAUUUCUUUAGUUUGGAACUAGAGGAUUGUGUUUCUACAGAGGUUGGUCUUGCUGUCCAUGAUGAUGAAUGAAGAUGUUUCCUUCAGAGCAGGAAGCUGGUGAGAAGAUGAGAAUCUUCUUCACUGACGAAGACUGUUGAGUGUUUCUGGAUGUGACACUGAAGGAGGCAACAUUGUCUGAGUGGA